GUGGGGAAUAUUGGACAAUGGGCGAAAGCCUGAUCCAGCCAUGCCGCGUGUGUGAAGAAGGUCUUCGGAUUGUAAAGCACUUUAAGUUGGGAGGAAGGGCAGUAAGUUAAUACCUUGCUGUUUUGACGUUACCGACAGAAUAAGCACCGGCUAACUUCGUGCCAGCAGCCGCGGUAAUACGAAGGGUGCAAGCGUUAAUCGGAAUUACUGGGCGUAAAGCGCGCGUAGGUGGUUUUGUAAGUUGGAGGUGAAAUCCCCGGGCUCAACCUGGGAACUGACUCCAAAACUGCAUGACUAGAGUACGGUAGAGGGUAGUGGAAGUUCCUGUGUAGCGGUGAAAUGCGUAGAUAUAGGAAGGAACACCAGUGGCGAAGGCGACUACCUGGACUGAUACUGACACUGAGGUGCGAAAGCGUGGGGAGCAAACAGGAUUAGAAACCCCUGUAGUCC
rnacentral:rRNA from 1 species